rnacentral:rRNA from 1 species
UACAGAGGUCUCAAGCGUUGUUCGGAUUCAUUGGGCGUAAAGGGUGUGUAGGUGGCGCGCUAAGUCGGGUGUGAAAUUUCGGAGCUUAACUCCGAAACUGCAUUCGAUACUGGCGUGCUUGAGGACUGGAGAGGAGACUGGAAUUACGGUGUAGCAGUGAAAUGCGUAGAUAUCGUAAGGAAGACCAGUGGCGAAGGCGGGUCUCUGGACGAUUCCUGACACUGAGACACGAAGGCCAGGGGAGCAAACGGG